rnacentral:tRNA from 1 species
GCCUGGCUGGCUCAGUUGGUAGAGUGUGGGACUCUUGAUCUUGGGGUGGUAGGUUCGAGUCCCAGGUUGGGUG